GUUGGGGGUUGGUCUGAGGCGACACUGUCCAGAGAAAACGGUGUUGGUCAGCUGGUGCCGGGGGUGUGGAGGGGCGGUGUUUGUUGACACUCUUGACACUCUUGACACUUGGCACUCCCAUGGCGGCCCUCCUCCAGUGGCGGAAGUUUGGAUUCUUCGACAUCAAGGCCAACAUUGAUGGAGGGAAGUUAGCCGAGGUAGUGAAGGAUGCAGAUGUCACCUGUGCAGCCGCAGGCCGUGGACACGUUUACGUAGGGGACACAAAUGGUUGGGUCCACAGCCUCACGCGUCAGCUUAAACUGGAUUCUUUCCAGGCACAUGACCGAGCAGUGAACUCCAUCACUGCCUUUGAUAAUACCAGUGUCAUUAUCACCGUAGCUGAUGGCAAAGAUGGCCCAUCCGAGAUCAAAGUCUGGGCUCCGGACAAGCCAGAUGUUCAUGGUCAUCCAGCAUGUUUACGCACCCUCUGUCCUGACCCGAGGCCCUCAACGUCUGGGUCGAGGUCGACACCGCAUCAGGCACUCCAGGUGCCCAGAGUCACUGCUAUAGCUGUUAACCCCAACUUGUCCCUAAUGGCAGUGGGCUUUUCUGAUGGGGCAAUUAUGCUUUAUAGAGGAGAAGUGAGUAGGGAACGAGGCAGCAAACACCGUGUUCUGUUGACAGUCUCGAGUGGCAUCACGUCUCUUCACAUACGCCACACACCACGCUCCACUCACCUAUUUGUAACGUCCCACACCAAUAUUUAUUGUGUCAACUGCACUGUCAGGGACAAGGAAACUACAGUGGAACUGGACUCGGUAGGUUGUCAGCGAGGCUGUGCGACCCUGGCUGAUGGUCGUCACGAGCAUUACUUUCUCGUGGCCAGGCCUGAUGCCAUCUACAGCUACACAAGUGACAGUAGAGGAUCAUGCUAUGUGUUUGAAGGAGAGAAGACAAUGGUGGCUUGGUUCAGGGGGUACCUCAUCGUUGCAUCCACUGACAAGGGAGUGCCACCCACCAGGGUCAGUGACCGAACCAUCACAAUAUACGAUCUGACCAACAAACUAGUUGCCUUAAGCACUAAAGUUCAAGGCUUGGCAAGUGUUGUAGGAGAAUGGGGAGGCCUCUACCUUGUCACUGCCGAACCCUCUUUGAUUCACAUGUCCGAGAAAGAUCUUCAUAGCAAGUUUCAACUUCUGUUCAAAAAGAAUCAGUUUGAUAUUGCUAUUAGCCUGGCCAAGACUCAGUGCUGUGAUCAGGAAGAAGUAGCAGAAAUAUUACGUCAGUACGGAGACUGGCUGUAUAGCAAGGGGAACCACCCGGUCGCAAUGGAUCAGUACAUCAAGACUAUCCCACACCUUGAACCCUCGUAUGUCAUUAGAAAGUAUCUGGAUACCCAACACAUUCACAACUUGACGACUUACCUGCAAGCUCUGCACAGGUCUGGAUCAGCAACAGCUGACCACACUAGUCUCCUCCUCAACUGUUACACGCGCCUGCGUGACACUCAGCAGCUGGAUGAAUUUAUCAUGAGCAAGAAUGGUGCCGUAGACUGUGACGUUGAGCUGGGGGUGCGAGUGUGUCGCAGUGCGGGCUACUUCGACCAUGCUCUGGCCCUGGCAGCCAAACACGGUCUUCAUCAUCAUCAUUUGGCAAUCCUCAUCGAUGACAAGAAAGACUAUGUAGCAGCUUUAAGGUAUAUUUCAACUCUGGAUUUAGAAGAAGCGAAAGGGAAUGUCCUGCGGUACGGGUCAGUUCUGCUGAGUCACGUAGGAGACGAGACCACCGAGCUGCUGAUCAGGCUCUGUACGGACUAUAAACCUAGUAACACUCCAAUCAUCAAAGAGGGAUCUUUAGAUGGGUACCUGACCCCAGAAGAGCCAGUAUACGCUGAUCCUGAAGACUUUGAAUACAUGCUGGUGGGCCACAGCGAACAAGCUAUCACGUUCUUGGAGAAGAUGGCGACCAUACCGGGCAAGCUCUCGGUCAAGUUGUACACCACCCUGCUUGCUGAGUAUCUUCACCAGUACAGUCUUGCUCCUGAAGGUCAAGAACAAGUAGCUUUGGGCGAGAAGGUGAUGGAGCUAUUACGCAGCACAGACAAUGAGUACUGUCGUGACCACGCACUCCUGCUCUGUGACAAGCUCAAGUUUCAUGAUGGAAAGCUCCUUCUGUGGGAGCAAGCUGGAAUGUACGAGGAGUUGCUGGCCUGGUAUGCUGAGCUCGGCGACAUGGACAGCAUGCUAGCCGUUUGUUCUCGGAAGUCACAUCAGCAUCCUCGGCUCUGGUGUUCAGCCUUAAAACUCAUAACGUCCUCUUCAUCUCUGGUCCCUCCAGAUCAGCAACACCUCAUGACGUGUCUUAGCAACAUAGAACAGAAGGGGUUACUACCCCCAUUAGAAGUUGUUGACCAGCUGGCCACCUCUCCACACAUCAGCCUGGGCCAAGUGAGAGAGUACCUGCUGAGAGUGGUCUCUACGCACUCUGCCACUCUGGCUGCUGAGGCCGCUCGCACUCAACAGUACUCACAGGAAACUUCUCGCAUGAGGGACACCAUCCGUGAACUGCGGACUAGUGCUACCCAGUUUACUGCUACCAAGUGCAACAUCUGCAACAAUGACUUGGAGCUGCCAUCUGUACACUUCCUCUGUAGACACUCCUUCCACCAGCAUUGCUUCGAGAGCUAUAGUGAAAGUGACUCUGAUUGCCCUGUAUGUUUACCCGAGAACAAGAAGAUGCUGGAUGUUAUCAAAGCACAAGAGACACACCGCAGCCAACACGACCAGUUCCAUGAGCAGUUGGAACGAUCAGCAGAUUCGUUCUCUGUGGUGGCAGACUACUUGGGACGAGGAGUGUUUACCCAUCUUCAUUCCCUAGCGGCUAUGUAUCCUUCCCUUAAUACAACGAAGAUUCCUGAACCCGAGGGCCGACUCCGGGCACUAGAGAGAGUGAACCAGGGACCAGUCGAGACCCCUACCACUUCCCUGAUAAUAUAUCAUUAACCACUGCAACUACUACUUAUUGCUGCUAUCGUCAAUCAAUCGGUAAUGGACACGGGAGUGCAUAUUGGAAGAUCACCCUGAAAUCGUCUUAUACACAGAGAGGUGUUCAACAUCACCUUUACUUGGGGAAACGGCUCCAAUCUGACCUAUUUGUCCUGAAUUCACACCCUGACAAGCUGCAGUGACUCGCCCCACACUCUCCUUGUUUUGAGAUGAUCUUCUCAUUCCCCUUCAUGAUAUUACUGUCCGCUGUCAACCACUCUGCUACCGUGUCUCUCUUUUCCCAGAAAUUAUCACCUGGACAAGAGCAAAAACCAGUUGUAUACAAACAUUUAUUACAUGAAAAUAAACAGAAGUAAACUAAUACAACAAUACAAUAUCAUAGAAUUCUACAAACCGGCAACACACCUAUAUAAUAUCAGUUCUUCACCAAAUAAACUGCACUAGGCUACUGCUCAAUUUCUGCCCUCAGCCUCUGGCCUUCUCACUGCUUUUGACUAGGUAACUUACAUAUAAAAAUAUCCCCAACCUGAAUACAAUGACUUUCUCACCUUACAUUGCAUCACUCAUGCCAUAUGCAUUCAAGCACUCCCUCGUACAUAUCAUGGUGUCCAUCUAAUUCUUUGUUGUGCAUCCUGAAGUCCACCACUAAGAACAUCUGUCUCUGGGGUCCUCAAAAUCAGGUGUCGGUGGGGAAGGUCGACUGAGAAUGAGUGAACGUCGCGGUCAGGGAGUGAUGGAGUCUGAACCUGAGAGCCGGUUGCGAACAGAUGGCCGCAGCGGGUUAUCCCAAUUUAUGCCAGAGAGUGCCU
rnacentral:misc_RNA from 1 species